CUGACCUGUAUUCGGAUAAUGGAAC
rnacentral:rasiRNA from 1 species